rnacentral:rRNA from 1 species
UACGUAGGGGGCAAGCGUUGUCCGGAUUUAUUGGGCGUAAAAGGCUUGUAGGUGGCCACGCCAAGUCGGAUGUGAAAUCUCCCGGCUCAACUGGGAGGGGUCAUUCGAUACUGGCGGGCUCGAGGCCGAUAGGGGGAAGUGGAAUUCCCGGUGUAGUGGUGGAAUGCGUAGAUAUCGGGAGGAACACCAGUGGCGAAGGCGGCUUCCUGGACCGGUUCUGACACUGAGGAGCGAAAGCGUGGGGAGCGAACAGG